rnacentral:rRNA from 1 species
AGAGUUUGAUCCUGGCUGAGGACGAACGCUGGCGGUGCGCCUUAUGCAUGCAAGUUGAGCGAAGCUUUUUGGUAGUUUACUACUAGAAAUGACUGAGCGGCGAACGGGUGAGUAACGCGUGAGCAAUCUACCUUAGUUACUGGGAUAGCCCGAGGAAACUCGGAUUAAUACCGGAUAUUCUUAUUUUUUCACAUGAAGUUUUAAGGAAAGGUCAGCCGAACUAAGAUGAGCUCGCGUUCUAUCAGCUAGUUGGUGGGGUAAAAGCCUACCAAGGCUACGACGGAUAGCUGGUCUGAGAGGACGAUCAGCCACACUGGGACUGAGACACGGCCCAGACUCCUACGGGAGGCUGCAGCAGGGAAUAUUGUGCAAUGAGCGAAAGCUUGACACAGCGACACCGCGUGUGGGAUGACGGUUCUAGGAUUGUAAACCACUUUCAGGAGGGAAGAAAAUGACGGUACCUCCACAAGAAGACCCGGCCAACUAUGUGCCAGCAGCCGCGGUAAUACGUAGGGGGCGAGCGUUGUCCGGAUUUAUUGGGCGUAAAGAGCUCGUAGGCGGUUCAACAAGUCGGUAGUAAAAGUUCAGGGCUCAACCCUGAAAUGUCUAUCGAUACUGUUGUGACUAGGAUACGGCAGAGGUGAGUGGAAUUCCGAGUGUAGCGGUGAAAUGCGUAGAUAUUC